rnacentral:rRNA from 1 species
AAAUGAAUAGACGGGGACCCGCACAAGCAGCGGAGCAUGUGGUUUAAUUCGAAGAUACGCGAAGAACCUUACCAAGGCUUGACAUCCCUUGAAAGGCAUAGAGAUAUGUCCCUCGAUAGCAAUAUUGACAAGGAGACAGGUGGUGCAUGGUUGUCGUCAGCUCGUGUCGUGAGAUGUUCGGUUAAGUCCGGCAACGAGCGCAACCCUUAUGAUAUGUUGCCAAUAUUAAGUUAGGAACUCAUAUCAGACUGCCGUGGAGAACACGGAGGAAGGCGGGGAUGACGUCAAAUCAUCAUGCCCCUUACGUCUUGGGCUACACACGUGCUACAAUGGGCGCAACAAAGAGCAGCGAGACGGUAACGUUAAGCGAAUCUCAAAAAAGCGUUCUCAGUUCAGAUUGAGGGCUGCAACCCGCCCUCAUGAAGCAGGAGUUGCUAGUAAUCGCGAAUCAGAAUGUCGCGGUGAAUGCGUUCCCGGGUCUUGUACACACCGCCCGU